rnacentral:lncRNA from 1 species
UUAUGACAUUGCUGCAUUUAUUACUCCGUACUGCCAAUGAAUACAUGAAUGUAGGAUUACAUUCAAUUAUUUGUAGGAUAAAUGCAGGCCCUCCGAUCCACACAGCAGAGUUGACUAUACUCAACAUUUUGUGGCAACGUGGUGUCAGUUUUCCCUGUAAGGGAGUGUGUUUUGCGACACUUUCCUUUUAUUAGAUUCACAAUGCCUUUGUAACGCCCAACCUCUCCUUUGUAGAAUUUUUCUUUGUUAGAAAACAGACAAACUCUGUCCUUAGGAACCGUCUUCUACUUGGUACAGCACUGGCCUCAGGCCGCCUGCAUCUGCGUGGACCAGUAAGAAUGAAGUCCAGCAGCAUAGAGAAAAGCAUCAUAAAGGCUGGGAGGUCAUCCCCCAGGGCCUCCCCUACUUCACAUACACAGAGACGUGUGCAUAUGUCACACACACACACAUAUUAUAUAUAGAUAUGUAUUUUUUUUUUUUUUUACAAAAAUAACAGGGUUUGCACAGCUCUAUUAAUUUUUUAAAAUUACACAGGCAAGGUUUAUGCUUCAGUAUAAC